rnacentral:pre_miRNA from 1 species
ACAACAACAUUUGGACCGUCGGUCUACCGUGCAAUAUCACCCGCUCGGUGGAAGAUCUUCCCUAUGUCGUUAAGC